rnacentral:rRNA from 1 species
CCUACGGGAGGCAGCAGUGAGGAAUAUUGGUCAAUGGACGAGAGUCUGAACCAGCCAAGUAGCGUGAAGGAUGACUGCCCUAUGGGUUGUAAACUUCUUUUAUAUGGGAAUAAAAUGUUCCACGUGUGGGAUUUUGUAUGUACCAUAUGAAUAAGGAUCGGCUAAUUCCGUGCCAGCAGCCGCGGUAAUACGGAAGGUCCGGGCGUUAUCCGGAUUUAUUGGGUUUAAAGGGAGCGUAGGCCGGCUUUUAAGUCAGCUGUGAAAGUCCGCGGCUCAACCGUGGAAUUGCAGUUGAAACUGGAGGCCUUGAGUGCACACAGGGAUGCCGGAAUUCAUGGUGUAGCGGUGAAAUGCUUAGAUAUCAUGAAGAACUCCGAUCGCGAAGGCAGCUUACUAAACUGUGACUGACAUUGAUGCUCGAAAGUGUGGGUAUCAAA